rnacentral:rRNA from 1 species
UGGGGAAUUUUGGACAAUGGGGGAAACCCUGAUCCAGCCAUCCCGCGUGUGCGAUGAAGGCCUUCGGGUUGUAAAGCACUUUUGGCAGGAAAGAAACGUCAUGGGUUAAUACCCCGUGAAACUGACGGUACCUGCAGAAUAAGCACCGGCUAACUACGUGCCAGCAGCCGCGGUAAUACGUAGGGUGCAAGCGUUAAUCGGAAUUACUGGGCGUAAAGCGUGCGCAGGCGGUUCGGAAAGAAAGAUGUGAAAUCCCAGAGCUCAACUUUGGAACUGCAUUUUUAACUACCGGGCUAGACUGUGUCAGAGGGAGGUGGAAUUCCGCGUGUAGCAGUGAAAUGCGUAGAUAUGCGGAGGAACACCGAUGGCGAAGGCAGCCUCCUGGGAUAACACUGACGCUCAUGCACGAAAGCGUGGGGAGCAAACAGG